AAUGAACGCUGGCGGCAUGCCUUACACAUGCAAGUCGAACGGCAGCAUGACCUAGCCUGCUAGGUUGAUGGCGAGUGGCGAACGGGUGAGUAAUGCAUCGGAACGUGCCUUUUAGUGGGGGAUAACGUAGCGAAAGUUACGCUAAUACCGCAUAUUCUCUGAGGAGGAAAGCAGGGGACCUUCGGGCCUUGCGCUAGAAGAGCGGCCGAUGUCGGAUUAGCUAGUUGGUGAGGUAAAGGCUCACCAAGGCAACGAUCCGUAGCGGGUCUGAGAGGAUGAUCCGCCACACUGGGACUGAGACACGGCCCAGACUCCUACGGGAGGCAGCAGUGGGGAAUUUUGGACAAUGGGCGCAAGCCUGAUCCAGCCAUGCCGCGUGAGUGAAGAAGGCCUUCGGGUUGUAAAGCUCUUUCGGCUGGGAAGAAAUCGCACCCUCUAAUACAGGGUGUGGAUGACGGUACCAGCAGAAGAAGCACCGGCUAACUACGUG
rnacentral:rRNA from 1 species